rnacentral:lncRNA from 1 species
CCUGUUCACAUCUAUCCCAAGCCUCUCUAUUACCACCUUGGUUGAUCUUCAUUUUCAAUUCUUUAGGGGACAUACAGCUCCAUGACUUGCAGCCUUACAAUAUGACUAAGGAAAAAAAGAAAAUGAAGAUCUCAGUGGUUAUUGGCAAAAGGAGACAUGAAGAUAAAAGACGAAACAUAUUUAACUUUGAAGUGCCUUCUUCAGAAGAUAGAGCUUCUCUUCCUUUUCUUGUCCCCUGCUAUUUCACUAAAACCUGGAUGUAGUUUUCAAGGUGAGUAACUAAAAACAGGUAACUAAAAACCAAAAACUAAGAUUUAGUGCAAAUUUACCCAGGACCUUACCUUGGUCUUCUUUCUGUCUUUCAGCAUCAAAGGCUUUAGUUUUCUUUCCCUUCCCCAUUCUGUAUUUUGUAGGAUUAUAGAUGUAAAACUGAGGCUUAGAAAAGUAAAGUGAAUUGCCCAAGAUUACAUAGCUAAUUGGUCAGGAUUUGAACUCAG